rnacentral:rRNA from 1 species
ACAGCAGCCGCCGCGGUAAAACGAAGGGUGCAAGCGUUACUCGGAAUUACUGGGCGUAAAGCGUGCGUAGGUGGUGGUUUAAGUCCGUUGUGAAAGCCCUGGGCUCAACCUGGGAAUUGCAGUGGAUACUGGGUCACUAGAGUGUGGUAGAGGAUAGUGGAAUUUCCGGUGUAGCAGUGAAAUGCGUAGAGAUCGGAAGGAACAUCUGUGGCGAAGGCGACUAUCUGGGCCAACACUGACACUGAGGCACGAAAGCGUGGGGAGCAAACAGGAUUAGAUACCCCGGUAGUCCCUGUCUCUUAUAC